AUGGACGCGUCAACGUCGUCCACCGCCAUGCUGCUGGAGGCGUCAACGUCGUCCACGGCCAUGCUGCUGGAGGCGUCAACGUCGUCGCAGCAGCAGCCCGGCGAGGCGCCGCUGUACCCGUACCUGGACGUCCCCGGCGUCCGGUUCGUCCCCACCGACCAGGAGCUCAUCCUCUGCUACCUCCGGAGCAAGCUGCGCGGCGAUCCGCCCCCGACCUCGCUCGUGCGCGACGACGACGUGUACGCGGAGCACCCCGAGUAUCUUACGACGAGGCUGGGCCCGAGCGUGGAGGACUACUGGUACGUGUUCACGCAGAGGAGCCGCAAGUACGCCAAGGGGGGGCGGCCGAGCCGGAGCACGGGCGACACGGGCCGCUGGAAGUCGGUGGGCAAGAACACGCCUGUCACCUACGGGAAGGAGAAGGCGACGAUCGGGUUCAGGAACUCGCUGGCGUACGAGGUGUUCGUCCGCGACGAUGGCGGCGACUCCAAGAAGAAGCGGAUAGAGAAGACGGAGUGGAAGAUGACCGAGUUCGUGGACGUCGACUCCAACAGGCCCGUCUCGUCCGGCUCCAACUUCAUGCUGCUCAACGACUGGGUGCUGUGCAGGAUAACGCGCAAGCCGGAGAAGAAGAAGGGGGAGGAGGAGGAUCCCGGCGCUUCUCCGGCGGACGAGGUGGUGGAGGAGGAGGAGCACGAGCCGUCAUCGAUGAUGCUCGCCGACGAGCCGCUGACGGACACCAGCCCCGACACGUCGCAGCAAGCGCAGGUGACGGCGCCUGCCGGCCUCUUAGGCAACGGCGCCAACUGGUCGGACAGCACCGCCGACAGCCAGGCCGGACGAUCCGGCUCCGGCUCCGACCCCCAAAAGACUGCCGACGACGACCCGUUCGAGUCUCUUGAUCUGGGGCCCUUGCCGAGUGGGAACAGUCGUGACCAUGUCUUCACGAUUGAUCCAUGGGCCUGGAACCUGUAUUAUCCAGAGGGCACCGAUAUUGAUUCGUCCGGCAGCCGGCUCCGAACGCCCAGCGACCCUGAUCCGAUGGAGAUCCCGUCGGAACCACCUGCUUAUCAUCCUCAGCCUCGGCACGUCGUCACUGAUCUUCCCUCCUCCUCCUCCGGCGGUCUUGAUGAACUCACCAAGGUGAUUCGCAAGAGAAAAGAACACGCCAGGGCGAGCGGCGACGACGCCGGGAAGAAGGGCAACGCGGCAGUGAAGAAGAGCUCCGGGCGUGCAAAGCCAGACGGCCAAAACUAA
rnacentral:rRNA from 1 species